rnacentral:tRNA from 1 species
CCGGCCCGAGUCGCCAGGAUCCGACCCCGGGUCCGAGGCGGGGACGUACCCGCGAGGGAUGGAGCGGAUCAUGCCCGCCGGCCCGGA